rnacentral:rRNA from 1 species
CUCCUUAAUGGUAUCACGGGUGAUCCUAUCAAGCAUGGUCGUGGGCUUCGGCAGGGAGAUCCUCUAUCCCCCUUGCUCUUUGUCCUCGCCAUCGACCCUCUCCACCGCAUUCUCGCAAAGGCC